GUCCGUCCAUCGCCGCGGCCUCGCCUAGCUAGGGUCGUUUCCCUCUGUCGCUUCGCUUCCCGCGCCAGGCCCUGAGCUUGUCCAGCCCCCUCUGCCCUGCCACCCGCCUCCCGCAGCUCCUACAAGUGAAUAGAAGCUCUAUGAGACAAGGUAGAUGUCACCUGAAUUCACCGCUGGAUUCCAGUGCCCUGGCAUAAAGAAGAGAUCCCAGAGUGAAGAAACAAGUGGAUCCAUCCUUCAUUAGCCAGUCCUUACGAUAACCACAAGAUGUGGCCAGAGAGAUAGCACAGCAGCAAGGCAUUUGCCUUGCACACAGCUGAUACAGAAUGGAUGGUGAUUCGAAUCCCAGCAUCCCAAAGCUGGUCCCCAAAGCCAUCCAGGAGUGAUUUCUGAGCACAGAGCCAGAAAUAACCCCUGAGCACCACCGAUGUGACCCAAAAACCAAAAAAUAAAAUAAAAUAACCACAAGGCUAAAAGUAUCCCUUUGGUUUCUGUAUUAAGACAGCCUGUAAUUCACAUGGAAGACUUGGGUUUUUAUUUUCUGCAUUGUCCUCUAUACUUUGGAGCAUUGAAGCAAUUCGAUCGUGUUGAUA